rfam:Sphingobacterium faecium PCAi_F2.5 genome assembly, contig: Scaffold50
AAAAGAGGUAGAGGUCGCGGUUUUUAUUACGCUUGUGGAGUGAGAGGACACUGGGAAGCAAGUUUAGGAUCAAUCGCCGAAAUGCAUAACGGAGCCUCUUCUGUUGUGUGUUGGGACGUAAGUUAAGAGCUUGCGGACUGUCUUAGUAGUGAUGCUAAGUUGUGCUAUGUUUCGU